AAUUGACAUGGAUAAUUAACACACGGAAAGAUCCCUCUCGCUGCUUCUUUAUCUUCUCAAGCUACCAUGGGCGAAACUACCCUCGCCGUUGAUCCAGGCAUGGAUGCCGUCCAGCGCAGUCUCAUGUUCGAAGCAAGAAGCUCAGGCUAAAGCAGCAACUGCCGAGGAAAGACAGCGAUCCAUGAAUGACUGCUUAUCUCGAACCUUGUCUCGAAUUAAUGUUCUUGAGGCCUAGGUUCUCCAAUUUCUUGAAUCAAGUCAUGUCUUUAAUGGUGGUUUUGUGUAUAUGUGACUCAAUUAAGGAAAGACAAAGAGCAAUUGAAAGUAGGCAAGAAUAUCUUGCUGCAUAGGAGGAAGUUGAUACUCAAGAAGAUCGUACGAGCCAGCUUGAGGAAGAGAAGGUCGUGCAAGACAACUUGAGAAAGAGAUUAAGAUUUAAGAUAGAAACACACACAAGAGUUGCAUGAGGCAUUGAUGCACAUGGAGCUUCUUCUGCAGGAAAGGAAAUAGAAAAGGAAAAGGUUGCUCGAUUAGAUUUGGAGAGGGUCGUCUGUGUUCAUUAUGUGCCAUCAUCAGAUCAAACAUCGCCAACAAAGCAUAAUUCCGCUUUUGAGAAUGGUGUUUUGCUUCUUUUUACAUCACUUGGCUCAACUCUCUUGUCUGUGAUAUUUUCGAUAAUAUACUUUAUGAUGUAGCGAGUCUGUCCCGUAAAAUCUCCAGUGCAAGCUCCCUUCGAAGCAUAGAAGAAAGCUAUUUUCUUCAAGCAUCACGAGAUUCAUCUGACAGAUUUUCUGAACGGAGAAACCUAGGAGAACUAAGCAUGAGUCAUUACUAUAUAUAGAGCAUGACACUAAAUUCUUUUGAGGUUGCACUUGGUCAGAAGGAGAGUGAACUUGCUUCAUAUAUGUUGCGCUUGGUAUGAUUUGUUGUCUUCAUUUUCUGUCAUCAUACCUUCCAAGAUAUCUCUUUGGAUCCGUAGUUGAAACUACAACAACAACAGUGAUCUUCUCCCAGCACCGCCAAUAGGCACUGCAAACUAGAGAGGUCAAGCGAACUAUUUAAGGUCUAGCAUAAAGCCAACUUACUGUUUUUUGUUGGAUUUGGAUCCCUUAUUCCAUUAUUUACUUUUUGUAUUCAUAACCAAUUUUUUUUGGAGUAUUUAUCAAAUA